CGGGGCGAGCCGGGUCUAGCUGCCUGGGCCGGCGGCUCCGCGGCAGAAUUGGCCAGUCGCUGCUGGUGGCUGCAGCUCAGUGCACACUCUCUCGCUCUGCCUGCCUCCUUCCCUCCCUGCCCCCUCCGCCCGCCCCCAGUCUCUCUUUCCCGGGUCCCUCGGCACGCGCGCGGGCCCGGCGGCCGGGCGCGUGUGUGUGCGUGUGUCUGGGCGCGCGUGUGAGCGAGCGCGCCGGGGGCUGGAGGCCGGCUCGCGAGCGGAGCGGAGCCGGGCAGCGCGCAGCGCGCAGCCGGCUCUUCCCGGCUUCUUUUUUUACAAAGCGGAGCGUUUGCAUUAAGCGCCCCCCUGACUCCCUUCCAUUAAGUGGGUGGUCGCUGCUGGGUCGGCCCUGGUCGGGCCGUGGGGUCGCGAGUGCCCCCGCCCGCCCCUCUUCGUGGCUUCUUCCAUUUUCUUUCUGCGGCUUCCAUUCCCCUCCCCUUUUUUUUUUUUUUUUUUAAAACUUGGGCGGGGGGAAACCGAGGAGGGUUGAUUAGACGCUGACCGCCGGCCCCCGCGCCCCCGGUGUUUUCUUCUAAGCUUCCCCCAGCGCCCAAGGUCGGGCCUCGUCUGCCCCCUUCCCGCCCCCUCUCCCGUGCCCCGAGGGGUGGGAUGCUUUGUCCUCUGCCCGGGUCACAGCCGUACCAGCAGCCGUCACCGCACCUGCAGCCGGUCUCAAUAUGAAUGGGGCGAACGACCCGCACUUCUUUAUAAAAGAUAUUAAGCCCGGGCUGAAAAACUUAAAUGUCGUCUUUAUUGUCCUGGAGAUAGGACGAGUGACCAAAACCAAAGACGGCCACGAAGUAAGGUCAUGCAAAGUAGCCGAUAAGACGGGAAGCAUCACUAUUUCGGUGUGGGAUGAAAUCGGAGGUCUUAUCCAGCCCGGGGAUAUUAUUCGAUUAACCCGAGGAUAUGCAUCCAUGUGGAAAGGGUGUCUGACUCUAUACACAGGAAGAGGAGGUGAACUUCAGAAAAUUGGGGAAUUUUGUAUGGUAUACUCAGAAGUGCCAAACUUCAGUGAACCUAACCCAGACUAUCUUGGACAGCAGAACAAAGUGGCACAUGGUGAACAAAAAAAUAAUUCUUCAGCAAGUAAUAUGGGUACAGGUACAUUUGGGCCAAUAGGAAAUGGUGUACAAACUGGACCUGAAUCAGGGCGAUUCCCAUUUUCAUAUAAUCAUGCCCACUCCUAUGCAGGUACUGGGAGAGCCAAUGGACGAGGACCUGUAAACCCACAGCUACCAGCAACAGCUAAUGUUCAGCCAGUUGUGACCACAAUAAGUAAUGGGAGGGACCCCCGGAGAGCCUUUAAAAGAUGACCUAUGCCAAAUGUUCACAUACAGCUUGCCUAAACUACAUGAUGCCCUACUUGAACACUUAUUGCACUUUUAUUUAUGGUUAUCUGUGAAAAGUUUGUCCUUUAUUGGAAAGACCCUUCAAUACCAAAGCAAGUGACUUUCAAUCUAUACUGACCUACAUUUAUCUAACCAGUCUAGUCUACUUGGGCAACUCUCAUCAAGAAGUCAGAGGAAGAUUAUUUUCCUGCUUUCCCCUCUCUCCAGUUUUUCACUUACCAACUUAAUUUUUUAAAAGAGCACUUAAGAUGGAAAUAUUAACAUCUACUGGAAAAGUCACUGGAUUGAGUUCCCCACAUAAUUUCUACAUCAUGGUUAAUUCUGAAAUGGAUUGAAGUCUCAUCAGAAGAACCAGCUUAUUAUGGCUUAUGCCUCUGUUUUGGGCAUAUGGGUGGUAUGGGUGUGGGGGUUGGUGAAAUUUGAGAGUGUGAAAGAUGAACAGAGAAACCUAGAUGAAACCUAUUUCAUAUAGGUGAUACCUAAGCACUCUAACAUUACCUUAUUCUUUCUCUGCUAUUCUUGGUCAUAGCUUUAUUACUAAAGGCUUAGUGUUCACACAUAGAUUAUAAUUUAUGUGUUGAAGCAUUAGAGGAGUAUGAAUACAUCUUUGGAGGAAGGAGAAAUAAUUGCCAGGAAUCAUACACAUGCUCAUUGAUAUUUUUUUCCCUCCUAUUUUGUAGUUAAGCCCAGGACUAGCCCUUGGCCAUUUGAACAGCUUUAUCACUUAAGGGGACCUAUAUUUGUAAGGCAGUUUGAUUAUUAAGCUAUUAUACUGAAGUCAUCCUUAGUAAGACUAUAAGCUACCUAUUCAGGUAUGUUUAAAGGAAUGCUUGGAGGUACAGAUAAUUUUCUAUACAAUUAAAGCCAUUAAUUAGGCCAUUGAAGUCUGUCACAUAAUAUGUUAUGAAAAGUAGUGACAAUACAAUGUCAUUUUUUGAUAAUACAGAUUGCUAACACCUAACAAUUUUAAAGAUAAUUAACAUAAUCCCAAGUUAAAACUUUGUAACAAAUGUUACUCUGCUGAUUAGAGACUGAACAUAUGACCUCAUUCUAUACCUGUGUUCUCCCUUAAUGUCAUGCCUCUAUUUCAUAUUCCAUGUCUUAGACACACUUCUCUUUUGGUCUUAACCACAGAGGUAACUAAUGGUACAGUGGAUAAAACAGUGGUAUUAGAGUCAGGAGGACCUGUAUUCCAAUGCAGCCUCUGACAUUGACCCUAGAUAAGUCACUUAACUCCAAUUGCCUUUCAGAAGUGACCCCCCCCCCCAAAAAAAAAGCCUAAGGCGUCUUUAAUAGUAUAGUAGGGGUGAAAUGGGAUUUUUGUCUGAGUCUGGAAUGCUUGCUGCAUUCUGAGGCAAUGACAGUCAUGUUCUUAAAUACUCUGUUGUGCAAAUGAAAUUGCAAUAACUGUCAAGUUUUGACCUUUUAAUCCUGGUUUACAAUAGAGGCUUGAAAAGUCCCAUUUGUGAGCUGUGAAAAGUAACUCUUGUAGCAUGUACUUAGCUCUAGUGUACAAAGCCUAGUAGUUUUGAAGAAACCAGAGCUACUUUUUCCUUUUUUUUUUUUGGAGGCAAAUGCAAUAACAAGUUGACAUUUUUAUGACCAUUAAGCCUUGUAAUCAUAGGUAUUUUUAAAAAAGAUAUACCUAAAGGCCUGCCUGUUUUGCCUACAAUCCUCCAGAUACUGUUAUCUUGUGACCACAUGAGCAAACUAGAUGGGAAAGAGUUUUGGCUUUAACAGCUUUUGGCUAUAUUUCAUAUUUUGUAAUCAUGACAGAUUUUUAGUGCCUAAGGCCGUGAGCAUAACGUCGUAAAACCUCAAUAAUUCAGAAAAGAGCAGUCAUGAUUUACUAGGAAAUCUGGAUAUUUUAAAGAUGCCUUAUGUUAAAAGUACAGUGUUGUUAUAAGGCAGUAAGUAUAUGCCAUUAAAUUGGAUAAAUUUUUUAUAGGAUUCAUGAUACAUAUUGAACCACAAAAGGCUUUUAUGAGUUUUUGUACCCACUGUGGAAGGUACAAAGUAUUAAAUCAAUUUGUGAUUUGUAAAAGAGCUUAGAAUUUACUUCAUUAGCAACAACCUUGACUUAGCUGUAAGUUAGUUUACUGGAAUUUCAAUUUGGGGAGCAUAAAUUAGGAACUGAAUUUUUUUUAAGAUACCAUUCCUAAAUGAACACCAUCCUCAAUUUUUUUUUUUUCAACUGGGCAGAUUUAACUUGGGAUGUGACAAUGACAGAAUUAACCUUGAGUUUGCAUCUUCACUCUUAAUGCAUGACUUCUGGCACCUUUAGUUUCAAAGUAACAUAAGGGAAUAUAAAAACUUGAAACCCAAAUGGCUAGAGCAUAAUUCGAACAUAAGUUUUUAGUCUUUAAAAUACAUAAUGUGCCAAUGACAAAAUACUGAUAUUUUCAUAGCUAAUGUUACAAUUGGACUAGAACAGAUUUUUUGACCUGGCCUCUAUUAGACUGAACCUUUCUCCAUGAGGAGUGAAAGACCACCACUUAACAGAGGUAUUUUGUCAUUGUCUAACCUGUGAAGUACAAAGAAAUACUAAAGCUUUUUCCUCCUCUAAGGGAAAGUCAGUUUUGACUCAAUUUAAAACAAGUUUCUAUUUUGGUAGUUUUCUACAUCAGUACAUUCAACCCAAUAUUAAGACAUUUGCCAUCAGACAUUAAAGUGACAGGUGCUAGAUAAGAGAAGUAAGGUAGAUAUUUUGUGAAGUGCAUGUUCUUCCACUUCUCUCCCUGAAGUCUGAUGGAAAGCAAGGGAGGUUGGAAGAAGAAUGCUAGCAAUAUAAAGAGAUCAAACAUAGCCAAGAACUUUUUACAUCUCACAAUCUGACCCUCCUGAAAAUAGAAUUUAUAAAACCACUUAUCCCUACAAAUAGUUAUUGAAUAAUAUAAAAGUCAUGGACAGGUCUUGGAGUGGAGAAAGGAGCCAGGUACAAGGAAAUGUAUUCCCACUUUUUAAGUUUUGGUCAUUUUAGUUUAGUUUGGCCAAGUUAAGAUUUAGAAAAUCCAUUUGGGAUUUUCUUGGCAAAGAUACUGGAGUAGUUGGCUAUUUUCUAAUAUAGUUUUACAGGUGAAGAAACUGAGGCAAAUUGGGUUAAGUGACACCAAAAAUGUUUGAGGUCAGUUUUGAACGAUUGAGUUUCCCCGAUUCUAGGUCUGGCAGUCUAUCCAAUAUGUAACCCUAUCAACAGUGCCAUCUACUGGUCAGAUAAUAAAGAUUAGAAAUUCUGGAGCAGAAAAUAUAUUUUAAACUAGCUCAUCUUUGGGUGAAGUACUGUCACUUUAGUGAGACUUUUCUGCCUACUUGUUUCAGCACUAUGAAAACUUUAGAUGUCAUAACCUAGUCUCAAAAUCUGUUCAUCCCUUUAUGUUAAAAAAAAAAAAAAAAAAAAAAAAAA